CUUUUUUGCCCCUCUUUCUCUCUCUCUCUCUCUCUCUCCGCCAUCCUCUCUGCGAUCGGUCCCUGCCAUGUCUGGCUUCUCACCUUGUGGAAUAACCCUAAAAGCCUUUCCCAAUUCGAUCCACUUCGCUUCUUGAUCCUGUGAACGCUUGUCCUCAGCUUAGUUUUCUGGAAUUUUUGAACUUUUUUCACUUUUUUUUUAGAGAUCCGGAGUUACAGGAGAUGGACUUGAAUGGUUUGGGUGCUGGGGAUUUUUUGAGCCGGUGGAGCUUGGAGGAGGAGAAUGGAGCUUGAUCUCGUUGGGUUUGAUGCUGUUUGGGUGGAUUGAGAGUGGUUUUGUUUGGUCGGUGGUGAGUUGGGAGGUCCGGAAGCGGAUUUGAUGAGGAUUGGGAACGUGGAAGAGCUCAAGAUCGCUGGUUCAAGAUGCCUUUCGCUAAGCUCGAUGACUCUCCUAUGUUCCGUAAGCAGAUACAGUCAUUUGAAGAUAGUGCAGAAUUAUUGAGAGAGAGGUGUCUAAAGUUUUAUAAAGGCUGCCGCAAGUACACAGAACAACUUGGGGAGGGAUAUGAUGGGGAUAUUGCUUUUGCUAGCUCCCUUGAAACGUUCGGUGGUGGGCACAAUGACCCCAUCAGUGUUGCUUUUGGAGGGCCCGUCAUGACCAAAUUUACAAUUGCUUUAAGAGAAAUCGGAACAUAUAAAGAAGUUUUACGCUCCCAGGUUGAGCAUAUAUUGAAUGACAGACUACUGCAAUUUGUUGACAUAGAUCUGCAAGAUGUCAAGGAAGCACGUAAACGUUUUGACAAGGCCUGCCUUCAGUAUGAUCAGGCUCGUGAGAAGUACUUAUCACUAAAGAAAAAUGCAAAAGCAGAUGUUGCCACUGUCCUGGAGGAUGAGCUCCAUGUUGCAAGGUCUUCCUUUGAGCAGGCCCGGUUCAGUCUUAUUUCUGCAAUUUCUAAUAUAGAAGCAAAGAAGAGAUUUGAAUUUCUGGAGGCCGUUAGUGGGACAAUGGACGCUCAUCUUCGCUAUUUCAAACAAGGGUAUGAACUAUUACAUCAGAUGGAGCCAUAUAUACACCAGGUCCUAACUUAUGCACAGCAAUCAAGGGAAAGGUCUAACUGUGAGCAAAUAGCCCUUACAGAAAGAAUGCAAGAGUUCAAAAGACAGAUAGAUCGAGAAAGUCGAUUAUCUUCAUAUGGCACAAUUUCUUCUCCUAAUGGCGAUGGUAUUCAAGCUAUUGGAAGAAGUUCACAUAAAAUGAUUGAGGCAGUGAUGCAAUCUGCUGCAAAAGGGAAGGUCCAAACUAUCCGGCAAGGUUAUCUUUCAAAGAGGUCAUCAAAUUUGAGAGGUGAUUGGAAAAGAAGAUUUUUUGUCCUUGACAGUCGAGGAAUGCUCUAUUACUAUCGCAAGCAGUUUAGCAGGCCAUCUGCAAGUCAUAAUGCCAGGGGUCACGGUUCAUCUGAACAUGGAUCUGGAUUGCUAAGUCGGUGGUUCUCUUCUCACUAUCAUGGUGGAGUUCAUGAUGAGAAGUCUGUUGCACGUCAUACUGUUAACCUCCUGACUUCAACAAUUAAAGUUGAUGCAGAGCAAUCAGAUCUGAGGUUCUGCUUCAGGAUCAUCUCACCAUCUAAGAACUAUACUUUGCAGGCAGAAAGUGCUGCUGAUCAGAUGGAUUGGGUUGAAAAAAUAACUGGAGUCAUUGCUUCCCUUUUGAGCUCUCAGUCACCUGAGCAGCGCCUUCUUGCCAGCCCUUCAAGCAGUGGCCAUCAUCGUGCUGCAAGUGAGAGUAGUUCUUUUGGUAGCUCUUCUGAUCUUGAUCAUUUGGUUGAAGAACCAUCAGUGGAAAGAAACUUUGCUGCCGGGCAGUCAGAUAGAUCCGUUAGAAGCUCACAACAGCAUAGGUUCCACUCAAAACAUGAUAAACCGAUUGAUGUGCUGAGGAAAGUAUCUGGAAAUGACAUUUGUGCUGAUUGUGGUGCUUCUGAGCCUGAUUGGGCAUCCUUGAACCUUGGAGUUCUUGUGUGCAUUGAGUGUUCUGGAGUACAUCGCAAUCUUGGCGUGCAUAUUUCCAAGGUAAGGUCCCUUACACUGGAUGUUAAAGUAUGGGAGCCGUCUGUGAUUAGUCUAUUUGAAUCAUUGGGUAAUGCUUUUGCCAACUCCAUUUGGGAAGAAUUACUGCACAUGAAAAGCAAUGGAAAUAGUGGUGAAACUCCAAGUUUCUGUAAGUUUGAGAGCAGACAACAGCAGAUGUUUGUCAAUAAACCAAAGCAUUCUGAUCCUAUUUCAAUAAAAGAGAAGUUCAUCCAAGCAAAGUAUGCAGAAAAGGCUUUUACUCUGAAACCAAAGCCAGAUCAGGAUCACCUCUUUGUUGCCAGACAGACAUGGCAAAGCGUCCAUGCAAAUGAUAAGAAAGCAGUAUAUCAUCACAUAGUGUCUUCAAAUGCUAAUGUCAAUGCCGUGUACGGGCAUGCAUCAGCAUGCCCCUCAGCUUUAACUCUCGCAAAAGCAUUGCUUCUUCAAGAACAUUCAGGAUCAUUGUUGGAUCAAAGUUCUAGUUGCACUGUCAGCGAAUCCCUUCACAAGAGUUCUCCCACAAGCCCGCCUCAUUCAGUGAAAGCAACCGAAGACAGGAUUGAGUCGGGUGAAAUUAUUGAUGGCUUCUCCCUUCUUCACCUUGCAUGCCACACUGCGGAUGUAGCCAUGGUGGAACUUCUAUUACAGUACGGCGCCAUUGUAAAUGCUCCCGAUUUGCAAGGCCGGACACCUCUACACCAUUGCAUUAUCAAAGGAAAACUAGCAUUUGCCAAAGUGCUACUUUCCAGAGGAGCUGAUCCACAUGAUUGUGAUAUGUACGGCAAAACCCCUUUACAGUAUGCCGUGGAGGCUGGAACCAUCAAUGACGAAGAGAUUCUUGUUCUGUUAGAGGAUACACACAGAUAGCAGAUACCCGGCUUAUAUGAUUUUUGUAAUUCCAGCAAGGCAUCAAAGGGCUGAAACUCCAUAAACUUCAUAAUUACAAAGUUUUGUUUUCGCAGCCAGCGUCGACAUUUAUUCCAGCAUUGAGGCAAGCGUUUGACUCCGAGAUGUCUAUAAUCUUUGCUAUCUAUUUAUUUGAUUCGGUUUUAUCUGGUUUCCAGUCAGCUUGCUGUGUGUGAGGUUUGUAAAUUAUCGAUAUCGAGUUCAAUGUGUCAGUGUUAUUUUGCAUAUGCUUGCUCAGUUACUGGAAAUCUGUAUAUAUAUAUAUAUAUAUAUGCUUGAUUCAAUAGUGAGAUACCAAUUGGAGGAUAUAUGUAUGAACAUUUCAUCAUUUGGAUAAUCUCAUGGAUUUGUUGUUGUU